rnacentral:rRNA from 1 species
UACGGAGGGUGCAAGCGUUGCUCGGAAGCACUGGGCGAAAAGCGUACGCAGGCGGCUCGAUAAGUCGGGUGUGAAAGCCCGGGGCUCAACCCCGGAAUUGCGCCCGAUACUGCCGAGCUUGAGUACGAGAGAGGGAUAGCGGAAUUCCUGGUGUAGAGGUGAAAUUCGUAGAUAUCAGGAGGAACCCCAGUGGCGAAAGCGGCCUCCUGUUCCGAUACUGACGCUCAUGUACGAAAGCGUGGGGAGCAAACAGG